rnacentral:tRNA from 1 species
GGAUGUAGCUCAGUGGAAGAGCACUUGGGUAGCAUACCCAAAGCCCUGGGUUCAAUUCCCAGCACCA